GCUUAUUCCACAAUAACAUAACAGCUUCCUUGGAAUUUCAAAGUUAGUGGUAUGGGAAAACUAUUUUAUGCUUACUUCUAAUCUCUUGCAUGAUGUAGCAGUGUUACAACGUAUGUUGGCAGAAGGAAUGCUGAUUACUGUGAGGGCAGUUUUCCUGAAAGCUCUGUGACUUUGUUGCAUAUUAGUUUGUGUCAAAAGUAAUCUUGUCAAUAUGGAUGCAAUUCCAAAGAUGUUUUUGUUAAUGAGGUAAGAUAUACCAUGUGACUGCUCAGUGUUUGACUAAAUGUAGACAAGGAAAUUUUGCACUGGCUUGCAAGUCCUAUUUCAAGUUGUAUAUGUGUUGCUGUCUUUGUACACCAUCCUGUUGCCCUGAGUUCCUGUUGAUCUAGAUUAUUUCCAGUCAUUGAGUUGUGCUGCACAGUUUCUUGAGGCUUCUUGCUCAUGGAGUCAGCUACACUUCACUACAUUUGACAUUUCAGUUGUACAUCUGUAUUUCAUUAACUCACUGGGCCUUGUGUGUAUACGUAGAACCACAGAGAGGACCUGGAUUUAUUCACCAUCCAGGGAGAUGAGAGCUCAAGAGAAACACCAUCAUAAUAAGGAUGCAUGCCAGGCCAUUGCUAAGUGGAAUGGCUGUGUUGAAAUCACUGUGAGACCCAUAGUAGUGUUGGGUCAAGAGAAAAUUAGCAGUUAGUGGGAAAUCAGUGGCAUAAAACAAAUACUAUUCUUAGCAUUCCAUCAUUCUAUGUUGGAUAAAGAAUUUGAAGGAAAAUGAAGCUGCUGAAGACUGGAAUGGUGAUUCAGAUACUGUCUGCAAUCUUCUUGCUGAAGUCAAUUUGAGGAUGUCUACAAGAACUCAUGAACUGAAAACUUUGGAAAGGAAGGUGUUACUCUUGCCCUUCAAGUGGUUAGAGACUGAUAGAAUCAUCCAUGCUGUCUUCUGGUUUACCAUGAAAGAAAUACAGGAAAGCCUCCCAGGAUGGAGUGCUCAAGAGUACGAGGGGUUUCUGCAGUUUUAAAGCUGAAAAGAUUUUUUUAUUUGCUAUCUUUGUAUGCUCUUGAGCUGUUCUGAAAAGGUUGGCAUUACACUUUGUAACAAACUUCUACCAUUUUACUUUUCUUUGUUUAAAUAAAUACAUUUUUGAGCAAUACCGUAUAAAAAUGUUUUUAUUUACACAUUUGUUUGAAAUGAUUUAUAAAACUUACACAAAUUAAAUUUUCAUGAAAGCACUGACAUGAAGCAUAACUGACAUUUUAACAUUUUCUUGCAAGUAUGAAGAAAAUGUUUCCUCGUUUUUUAAAACAUUGUAAAACUUGCCUGAAAAACUAGUCAAAAUAAUUUAAAUCAUUCUUUUGUCAUAUGAAAAUUCAGUGUCACAGGUUCCGUUUGAUCACAUUAUAUUUUCUUUCCUUAAUGCAAAUCAUCAGUAGUGCAAUUUCCACAUACAAAGGCGUGUUUCAGUGCUGCUUCUUAAUAGUUUCCAUGAUUUUUUAUAGUAAUAAUGAUGAUACCAGUGAGGUUGACUGAAAUUCUCAUAAACAUUAACAAUAUUCUGUGCAAUAUUCUUUGAUAAUUGAAUGGAAUAUUGUUACUUGUGUGAUUUGAGUUGCCAAGGAAUGAAGAAAGCUGACAUAAAACUCUUGAAUUCAAGUAUUGAAUAUACUGAAAACCCAA